GGGUAUUCCUAAUGCGGGUCUCGGGGCCACCUCCCACCCGUGUUGCCCGAACCUAUGUUGCCUCGGCGGGCCCCGCGCCCGCCGACGGCCCCCCUGAACGCUGUCUGAAGUUGCAGUCUGAGACCUAUAACGAAAUUAGUUAAAACUUUCAACAACGGAUCUCUUGGUUCCGGCAUCGAUGAAGAACGCAGCGAAAUGCGAUAACUAAUGUGAAUUGCAGAAUUCAGUGAAUCAUCGAGUCUUUGAACGCACAUUGCGCCCUCUGGUAUUCCGGAGGGCAUGCCUGUCCGAGCGUCAUUGCUGCCCUCAAGCCCGGCUUGUGUGUUGGGCCCCGUCCCCCCCGCCGGGGGGACGGGCCCGAAAGGCAGCGGCGGCACCGCGUCCGGUCCUCGAGCGUAUGGGGCUUCGUCACCCGCUCUAGUAGGCCCGGCCGGCGCCAGCCGACCCCCAACCUUUAAUUAUCUCAGGUUGACCUCGGAUCAGGUAGGGAUACCCGCUGAACUUAAGCAUAUCAAUAAGCGGAGGAA
rnacentral:rRNA from 1 species